CCUGGUUGAUCCUGCCAGUAACAUAUGCUCGUCUCAAAGAUUAAGCCAUGCAUGUCUAAGUGCACACGGCCGGUACAGUGAAACUGCGAAUGGCUCAUUAAAUCAGUUAUGGUUCCUUUGACCGCUCUCACGACGUUACUUGGAUAACUGUGGCAAUUCCAGAGCUAAUACAUGCAAACGAGCGCCUCCCCGCCGGCCUCUUCUCACCCCAUUUAUCAGAUCCAAAACCCAACCAGGGAGCGGGCGGCCCGCCGCUCGAGGCCCGCGCGCCCCCGGUCGACCUUUGGUGACUCAGGAUAACCUCGGGACGAUCGCCCGCCCUCCGAGGCGGCGACGACGCAUUCGAAUGUCUGCCCUAUCAACUUUCGAUGGCAGUGCAAGGGCCUUCCAUGGUGACCACGGGUAACGGGGAAUCAGGGUUCGAUUCCGGAGAGGGAGCCUGAGAAACGGCUACCACAUCCAAGGAAGGCAGCAGGCGCGCAAAUUACCCAUUCCCGACACGGGGAGGUAGUGACGAAAAAUAACGGUGCAGGUCUCUUUCGAGGCCCUGUAACCGGAAUGAGCGUAUCCUAAACCCAUGGGGCGAGGACUCAUCGAAGGGCAAGUCUGGUGCCAGCAGCUACGGUAAUUCCAGCUCCUAUAGAGUCUGUUAAACUUGCUGCCGGCCCCUGCCUCUCCCGGCGCCCCCCGGAUGCCCUUGGCUGGGUGUCCGGUCCCACGGGGCCCGGAGCGUUUACUUUGAGAAAAUUAGAGUGUUCAAAGCAGGCCGCCCGUCGCCACUGAAUACUGCAGCUAGGAAUGAUGGAAUAGGACUCCGGUUCUAUUUUGUGGGUUUCACGAACCCGGGGCCAUGAUUGCCCUUUCAGGUGGAUCACCAUGGGCCCUCGGGUGGUCUACGAAACACUUAUAGGUCCCACCUGCAACCUAUUUGACACAAUUUUUUUUUUCCCCGGAUGAUUCCACCAUGGGGCGGAGGUGGUCCACGAAACACCUAUGGGUCCCACCUGCAACCUAUUUGACACAAUUUUUUUUUUUUUCGAGUGACCUACCAAGCGGUGGGUGGGCUCAGGGGUCCC
rnacentral:rRNA from 1 species